rfam:Aedes aegypti strain Liverpool supercont1.976 genomic scaffold, whole genome shotgun sequence.
GCGCGAUGGUUUUUGGUGAUUAUCCGGCGGCUCCGGCGGAAUACAAUUCGAAGAUCCACGGACCUUACGAUCCUGCCCGUUACUACGGCAAGCCGGAUACGCC